rnacentral:rRNA from 1 species
UACGUAGGGGGCGAGCGUUGUCCGGAAUUACUGGGCGUAAAGAGCUCGUAGGUGGUUUGUCGCGUUGUCCGUGAAAACUCACAACUCAAUUGUGGGCGUGCGGGCGAUACGGGCAGACUGGAGUACUGCAGGGGAGACUGGAAUUCCUGGUGUAGCGGUGAAAUGCGCAGAUAUCAGGAGGAACACCGGUGGCGAAGGCGGGUCUCUGGGCCGAUACUGACGCUGAGGAGCGAAAGCGUGGGGAGCGAACAGG